rnacentral:rRNA from 1 species
UACGUAGGGUGCAAGCGUUGUCCGGAAUUAUUGGGCGUAAAGAGCUCGUAGGCGGCUUGUCGCGUCGGAUGUGAAAGCCCGGGGCUUAACUCCGGGUCUGCAUUCGAUACGGGCAGGCUAGAGUUCGGUAGGGGAGAUCGGAAUUCCUGGUGUAGCGGUGAAAUGCGCAGAUAUCAGGAGGAACGCCGGUGGCGAAGGCGGAUCUCUGGGCCGAUACUGACGCUGAGGAGCGAAAGCGUGGGGAGCGAACAGG